rnacentral:pre_miRNA from 1 species
UAUUAAAAUUUUCAUCCAUUUCUUCCCUUAAAAAUUGACUUAGUAGAUAAAAUAACUAGAUAAUUAUAUGUAUUGUGUUACGUGUACCUUUUACUAACGUAAAAAGAUAAAUUUGUAACAAUAAAAAUAAAUAAAAUUUUGAAUA